GACGAACGCUGGCGGCGUGCCUAAUACAUGCAAGUCGAGCGGACUUUCAAGAAGCUUGCUUUUUGAAAGUUAGCGGCGGACGGGUGAGUAACACGUGGGCAACCUGCCUGCAAGACGGGGAUAACUCCGGGAAACCGGGGCUAAUACCGGAUAAUAUCUUCCUUCGCAUGAAGGAAGGUUGAAAGGCGGCGCAAGCUGCCGCUUGCAGAUGGGCCCGCGGCGCAUUAGCUAGUUGGUGAGGUAACGGCUCACCAAGGCGACGAUGCGUAGCCGACCUGAGAGGGUGAUCGGCCACACUGGGACUGAGACACGGCCCAGACUCCUACGGGAGGCAGCAGUAGGGAAUCUUCCGCAAUGGACGAAAGUCUGACGGAGCAACGCCGCGUGAGCGAAGAAGGUCUUCGGAUCGUAAAGCUCUGUUGUCAGGGAAGAACAAGUACCGUUCGAACAGGGCGGUACCUUGACGGUACCUGACCAGAAAGCCACGGCUAACUACGUGCCAGCAGCCGCGGUAAUACGUAGGUGGCAAGCGUUGUCCGGAAUUUAUUGGGCGUAAAGCGCGCGCAGGCGGUCUCUUAAUUCUGAUGUGAAAGCCCACGGCUCAACCGUGGAGGGUCAUUGGAAAGUGGGAGACUGAGUGCAGAAAGAGGAGAGCGAAUUUCCACGCUGUACCGCUA
rnacentral:rRNA from 1 species